rnacentral:rRNA from 1 species
CUGCGGCAGCGACGCUGAUGCGUUGUUGGGUAGGGGAGCGUUCUGUAAGCCUGUGAAGGUGGCCUGUGAGGGUUGCUGGAGGUAUCAGAAGUGCGAAUGCUGACAUAAGUAACGAUAAAGCGGGUGAAAAGCCCGCUCGCCGGAAGACCAAGGGUUCCUGUCCAACGUUAAUCGGGGCAGGGUGAGUCGACCCCUAAGGCGAGGCCGAAAGGCGUAGUCGAUGGGAAACGGGUUAAUAUUCCCGUACUUGGUGUUACUGCGAAGGGGGGACGGAGAAGGCUAUGUUGGCCGGGCGACGGUUGUCCCGGUUUAAGCGUGUAGGUGUGUGUUCCAGGUAAAUCCGGUUCACUUUAACACUGAGGCGUGAUGACGAGGCACUACGGUGCUGAAGCAACAAAUGCCCUGCUUCCAGGAAAAGCCUCUAAGCAUCAGGUAACAUCAAAUCGUACCCCAAACCGACACAGGUGGUCAGGUAGAGAAUACCAAGGCGCUUGAGAGAACUCGGGUGAAGGAACUAGGCAAAAUGGUGCCGUAACUUCGGGAGAAGGCACGCUGACACGUAGGUGAAGUGAUUUACUCAUGGAGCUGAAGUCAGUCGAAGAUACCAGCUGGCUGCAACUGUUUAUUAAAAACACAGCACUGUGCAAACACGAAAGUGGACGUAUACGGUGUGACGCCUGCCCGGUGCCGGAAGGUUAAUUGAUGGGGUCAGCGCAAGCGAAGCUCCUGAUCGAAGCCCCGGUAAACGGCGGCCGUAACUAUAACGGUCCUAAGGUAGCGAAAUUCCUUGUCGGGUAAGUUCCGACCUGCACGAAUGGCGUAAUGAUGGCCAGGCUGUCUCCACCCGAGACUCAGUGAAAUUGAACUCGCUGUGAAGAUGCAGUGUACCCGCGGCAAGACGGAAAGACCCCGUGAACCUUUACUAUAGCUUGACACUGAACAUUGAGCCUUGAUGUGUAGGAUAGGUGGGAGGCUUUGAAGUGUGGACGCCAGUCUGCAUGGAGCCGGCCUUGAAAUACCACCCUUUAAUGUUUGAUGUUCUAACGUGGACCCGUGAUCCGGGUUGCGGACAGUGUCUGGUGGGUAGUUUGACUGGGGCGGUCUCCUCCUAAAGAGUAACGGAGGAGCACGAAGGUUGGCUAAUCCUGGUCGGACAUCAGGAGGUUAGUGCAAUGGCAUAAGCCAGCUUGACUGCGAGCGUGACGGCGCGAGCAGGUGCGAAAGCAGGUCAUAGUGAUCCGGUGGUUCUGAAUGGAAGGGCCAUCGCUCAACGGAUAAAAGGUACUCCGGGGAUAACAGGCUGAUACCGCCCAAGAGUUCAUAUCGACGGCGGUGUUUGGCACCUCGAUGUCGGCUCAUCACAUCCUGGGGCUGAAGUAGGUCCCAAGGGUAUGGCUGUUCGCCAUUUAAAGUGGUACGCGAGCUGGGUUUAGAACGUCGUGAGACAGUUCGGUCCCUAUCUGCCGUGGGCGCUGGAGAACUGAGGGGGGCUGCUCCUAGUACGAGAGGACCGGAGUGGACGCAUCACUGGUGUUCGGGUUGUCAUGCCAAUGGCACUGCCCGGUAGCUAAAUGCGGAAGAGAUAAGUGCUGAAAGCAUCUAAGCACGAAACUUGCCCCGA